rnacentral:sRNA from 1 species
UGUGUUUUAACUUGAUCAGUUGCUCAAUUUGAACUAUUCUCUCAUUUACAUUAAUAAGGUUUUAGAAAACUUCAUUGUAAAAUGUUGAAGCUUUUAGAAAGCAAGACUUGAAUCAUUUUCAAAGUUUAUUCAUAUUUAUUAACAUGUACCUGUCCAUUAGAAUUUUGCACAUACAGCAAGUAUGCACACAGCAAGAUAAAAUAUGCUAUGAGUUCAUGUAUUCAUCUUAGAGAAAUCACCAGGCCUUCAUUUUUACUGGAGUAUAUAUAACCUAUUAACAAAUCAAAGUCAUGAUAGAAAGACAACUUUGAUUUUGAAUACUGGUAUCUAUAAAAGGGAAUGUGAACAAAUAUGUGUUUAAAAAUUAUUGCCGACAGAAAUGAGUGAAAUAAUAAAAAUAAAUGCAUGUGUUUUCAUUGAAUAUACAUAUUCUGGAAUCUGGGCAUAGUUAGGUGCUGCUUUUAGUUAUAUUUCAAGUUUAAUACAAAACUGCACAUACAAAAAUAUCUCUCCUGUUGCAAAAAUUAUUCUUGGUAGUAUUACAAAUUUAAAAGAUUUAUAGUCAGUGAUACUUGUGAAAAUAUUUCCUAGGAUUCCUUCAUAUUAAGAUUAAUACUUGUAAACUUACCAGGGUAAAAUUUGGUAAUGUAUUAACUUCAUCCUAACUACUAGUCCUCUGUAUUAUUUAAGGUAGUAUUAGUACUUGCCUCAUGGUUAACUUUCUACAAAUUGUACAUAUGUUUUAACCCCUGUUUUGUUACUGGCAUUGAUAUGUAUUAUGAAUACUAUGUUUAUAAUAAAAGAAAUUAAGGUUGAUUUUUU